rnacentral:rRNA from 1 species
GACGAACGCUGGCGGCGUGCUUAACACAUGCAAGUCGAACGGAAAGGCCCUGCUUUUGUGGGGUGCUCGAGUGGCGAACGGGUGAGUAGCACGUGAGUAACCUGCCCUUGACUUUGGGAUAACGUCAGGAAACUGGGGCUAAUACCGGAUAGGAGCUCCUGCUGCAUGGUGGGGGUUGGAAAGUUUCGGCGGUUGGGGAUGGACUCGCGGCUUAUCAGCUUGUUGGUGGGGUAGUGGCUUACCAAGGCUUUGACGGGUAGCCGGCCUGAGAGGGUGACCGGCCACAUUGGGACUGAGAUACGGCCCAGACUCCUACGGGCGGCAGCCGUGGGGAGUAUUGCACAAUGGGCGGAAGCCUGCUGCAGCAACGCCGGGUGCGGGAUGACGGCCUUCGGGUUGUAAACAGAUUUCGCCUGUGACGAAGCGAGCGUGACGGUACUGAGUAAAGAAGCACCGGCUAACUACGCG